AAUGUAUAAUAUGGAAGAAGAAGAAGAAGAAGAAAGAAGAAGAAGGCAUAUUUGAUCUAUUCCCUUGUUUUAACGUUACUGCUGCAGGUUUUUAACAUGAUACUGUUCCAU
rnacentral:ribozyme from 14 species